ACAAAAAAAACGAACAUUGGGAUGAGGCUAAGCCAACGGCUGGUCAACUGGCAGCGGAACAUGACAGACGGAUGGGCAUACUAGAUCGCCUGAAAGCUAACUCCUACGCAGAGAGCAGCUGCGGGAAAACCCGCCAAGUAUACCUCUUCAGACAUACAAUCGAACAGAUUUGUUUGUGUUUGAUUAAGCUGUCGAUUCAACUGCUGUCGAUUCAACUGCCGUCGUCAAUACGUUAGUGGCAUUAGAACAGCUGUGUAUGAAGCUAUCGGCAUCGUUGAAAGUGCCAGGUUGGUUUGUAUAUCCGAAGUAAAGCAAAAUGAAAAUACGGAUGCGAAAAGUGGCAAUACCUCGAUCUGUAAUUAGCUUCAGGCCAGAGUCAGCUGCCAAAUAAAGUCAACCGUAUCUAUUUCCGUAGUAUCAGGAAAAGCCCUGUUUCUGCAACGAACAAAAGGCGUCGCCGUUACAACGAUAGAAGAACAAGUAAACUAACUACCAGUUGAACAUGAAGCGAGUCAUUACCUGAAUGAAGUGCCAUUACAACUCAUGCGAACGACACCAUUUAAGUAUCACGUAAAUGUUAAGUGACG